CUGGCAUUCUUUUUGUUACAUCGUUUUUUUUGCAGGUAGGUUAAUAAUUUUAGGUGGAAAAUUAAAGAAAAAAUAAACAAAAGCGUACCUAAAGUGAUUUUAAGAAAGCGACUGACACAAGAAGGCAUAAUUAGUAUUGCUACGUCAAUAUGCGUUUGGCAAUAUUUCUUUUAAUAUUUUGCAUAUUCGAGUAUGCGCUGACCGUGGACCAAACGAAUUUCAAAACAUGUGAUCAGAGCAGUUUUUGCAGGCGAUGCCGCAAAGUGAAGCCAGAUAAUCCUAAAUUUGCUUUGGUACCUGGGACACUCAAUAUAUACUCAGAUUCCAUAACAGCCGAUCUGAUACAUAAGGACAACAAACAUUUGUUUAGCCUUAAGUUAGAAGCUUU